rnacentral:rRNA from 1 species
UACGUAGGGGGCUAGCGUUGUUCGGAAUUACUGGGCGUAAAGAGCUCGUAGGCGGUCUGUCGCGUCUGCUGUGAAAACCCGAGGCUCAACCUCGGGCCUGCAGUGGGUACGGGCAGACUAGAGUGCGGUAGGGGAGAUUGGAAUUCCUGGUGUAGCGGUGGAAUGCGCAGAUAUCAGGAGGAACACCAAUGGCGAAGGCAGAUCUCUGGGCCGUAACUGACGCUGAGGAGCGAAAGCAUGGGGAGCGAACAGG